rnacentral:rRNA from 1 species
ACGAACGCUGGCGGCGUGCUUAACACAUGCAAGUCGAACGGUGAAGCGCCUUCCUUUUUGGUGGGUGUGGAUGAGUGGCGAACGGGUGAGUAACACGUGAGUAACCUGCCCCCUUCUUCUGGAUAACCGCAUGAAAGUGUGGCUAAUACGGGAUAUUCUGGGUCUGUCGCAUGAUGGGUCUGGGAAAGAUAUUGUUUCGGUGGGGGAUGGGCUCGCGGCCUAUCAGCUUGUUGGUGGGGUGAUGGCCUACCAAGGCGGUGACGGGUAGCCGGCCUGAGAGGGUGGACGGUCACACUGGGACUGAGACACGGCCCAGACUCCUACGGGAGGCAGCAGUGGGGAAUAUUGCACAAUGGGCGCAAGCCUGAUGCAGCGACGCCGCGUGAGGGAUGGAGGCCUUCGGGUUGUGAACCUCUUUCGCCAGUGAAGCAGGCCUGCCUCGUUUGUGGGUGGGUUGACGGUAGCUGGAUAAGAAACGCCGGCUAACUACGUG